UACGUAGGGGGCAAGCGUUGUCCGGAAUUACUGGGCGUAAAGCGUGCGCAGGCGGUUUUGUAAGCCAGAUGUGAAAGCCCCGGGCUCAACCUGGGAAUGGCAUUUGGGACUGCAAGGCUGGAGUAUGGCAGAGGAGACUAGAAUUCCUGGUGUAGCAGUGAAAUGCGUAGAUAUCAGGAGGAACACCGAUUGCGAAGGCAGCUCGCUGGGACGUAACUGACGCUGAGACGCGAAAGCGUGGGGAGCAAACAGG
rnacentral:rRNA from 1 species